CUGCACUGUCAUUUACACCUAUUUUUGACAAUCCAAAAUCGGAGACUUUGGCGACCCAAUUUUCGUCUAACAAAAUAUUGGUCGUCUUUAUGUCUCGAUGGAUUAUAGUAUUCGACGCACCAGCAUGAAGAUAGUGCAGUCCACGAGCUGCUCCAGUGCAUAUCUCAAGCCUUUGCUUCCAUGGAAGUGGAUUCUUGAAUUUGUCGUAGAGAUGGUCUCGAAGAGUCCCGUUGACCAUAUAGUCAUAAACAAGGACCAUUUCUCCUUCAUGAAGACAAUAUCCGAUCAGAGAGACGAGAUUGACAUGGCGGAGCUGGGACAACGUCUCAAUCUCUGUCCUGAAUUCACGGACACCCUGACUCGACUCUCGAUUCAAUCGCUUAAUUGCAACAGUCAUGGCUCCAUUAUCAAUAUCACCUCUGUAAACAUUGCCGAAACCACCUGAGCCAAUUAUCAAACUCUCAUGGAAGUCAUUCGUAGCAGCUUUAAUCUCAUCUAGUGAAA
rnacentral:misc_RNA from 1 species